GCAAGCAGGAGCGGGGUGGAGAUCUCUCAGAUGUGAAGGGAGGCUUCAUGCUGCCUAUCAGAGCUUGCAUGCAAGCAGGAGGGGGCAGGGCAGUUAGGCAAUGGGAAGCCUCCCUUCCCAGCUGAGGGAUCUACGCCCGCUCCUGCUUGC